rnacentral:pre_miRNA from 1 species
GUCGCCAUCUUACUGGGCAGCAUUGGAUGGUGUCAGGUCUCUAAUACUGCCUGGUAAUGAUGACGGC